GAUGAAGAACGUAGCGAAAUGCGAUAAGUAAUGUGAAUUGCAGAAUUCAGUGAAUCAUCGAAUCUUUGAACGCACAUUGCGCCCGCUAGUAUUCUGGCGGGCAUGGCUGUCCGAGCGUCAUUUCAACCCUCAAGCCCCCGGGCUUGGUGUUGGGGAUCGGCGAGCCUCCGCGCCCGCCGUCCCCUAAAUCUAGUGGCGGUCUCGCUGUAGCUUCCUCUGCGUAGUAGCACACCUCGCACUGGGAAACAGCGCGGCCACGCCGUUAAACCCCCAACUUCUGAACGUUUGACCUCGGAUCAGGUAGGAAUACCCGCUGAACUUAAGCAUAUCAAUAAGCGGAGGA
rnacentral:misc_RNA from 1 species